rnacentral:rRNA from 1 species
UUGUUGGUGGGGUAAUGGCCUACCAAGGCGACGAUCAGUAGCGGGUCUGAGAGGAUGAUCCGCCACACUGGAACUGAGACACGGUCCAGACUCCUACGGGAGGCAGCAGUGGGGAAUUUUGGACAAUGGGGGCAACCCUGAUCCAGCCAUUCCGCGUGAGUGAAGAAGGCCUUCGGGUUGUAAAGCUCUUUCAGCUGGAACGAAACGGUACGCCUUAAUACGGUGUGCUAAUGACGGUACCAGCAGAAGAAGCACCGGCUAACUACGUGCCAGCAGCCGCGGUAAUACGUAGGGUGCGAGCGUUAAUCGGAAUUACUGGGCGUAAAGCGUGCGCAGGCGGAUUGUUAAGCAAGAUGUGAAAUCCCCGGGCUUAACCUGGGAAUGGCAUUUUGAACUGGCAGUCUAGAGUGUGUCAGAGGGGGGUGGAAUUCCACGUGUAGCAGUGAAAUGCGUAGAUAUGUGGAGGAACACCAAUGGCGAAGGCAGCCCCCUGGGAUAACACUGACGCUCAUGUACGAAAGCGUGGGUAGCAAACAGGAUUAGAUACCCUGGUAGUCCACGCCCUAAACGAUGUCAACUGGUUGUUGGGGGAGUGAAAUCCCUUAGUAACGAAGCUAACGCGUGAAGUUGACCGCCUGGGGAGUACGGUCGCAAGAUUAAAACUCAAAGGAAUUGACGGGGACCCGCACAAGCGGUGGAUGAUGUGGAUUAAUUCGAUGCAACGCGAAAAACCUUACCUACCCUUGACAUGUCCAGAAUCCUGCAGAGAUGCGGGAGUGCCCGAAAGGGAAUUGGAACACAGGUGCUGCAUGGCUGUCGUCAGCUCGUGUCGUGAGAUGUUGGGUUAAGUCCCGCAACGAGCGCAACCCUUAUCAUUAGUUGCUACGCAAGGGCACUCUAAUGAGACUGCCGG